rnacentral:rRNA from 1 species
CCUACGGGAGGCAGCAGUGGGGAAUAUUGCACAAUGGGGGGAACCCUGAUGCAGCGACGCCGCGUGAGUGAAGAAGUAUUUCGGUAUGUAAAGCUCUAUCAGCAGGGAAGAAAAUGACGGUACCUGACUAAGAAGCCCCGGCUAACUACGUGCCAGCAGCCGCGGUAAUACGUAGGGGGCAAGCGUUAUCCGGAUUUACUGGGUGUAAAGGGAGCGUAGACGGCAGAGCAAGUCUGAAGUGAAAGCCCGGGGCCCAACUGCGGGACUGCUUUGGAAACUGCCCGGCUAGAGUGCUGGAGAGGUAAGCGGAAUUCCUAGUGUAGCGGUGAAAUGCGUAGAUAUUAGGAGGAACACCAGUGGCGAAGGCGGCUUACUGGACAGUAACUGACGUUGAGGCUCGAAAGCGUGGGGAGCAAACAGGAUUAGAUACCCGAGUAGUC